rnacentral:rRNA from 1 species
AACCAACAGGGAUUGCCCCAGUAGCGGCGAGUGAAGCGGCAAGAGCUCAGAUUUGAAAUCGUGCUAAUUUUUUUGGCACGAGUUGUAGAGUGUAGGCGGGAGUCUUUGUGGAGCACGGUGUUCAAGUCCCUUGGAACAGGGCGCCUGAGAGGGUGAGAGCCCCGUGGGGUGCCGUGCGAAGCUCUGAGGCCCUGCUGACGAGUCGAGUUGUUUGGGAAUGCAGCUCCAAGUGGGUGGUAAAUUCCAUCUAAGGCUAAAUACUGGCGAGAGACCGAUAGCGAACAAGUACUGUGAAGGAAAGAUGAAAAGCACUUUGAAAAGAGAGUGAAACAGCACGUGAAAUUGUUGAAAGGGAAGGGUAUUGGGCCCGACAUGGGGAGUGCGCACCGCUGUCUCUUGUAGGCGGCGCUCUGGGCGCUCUCUGGGCCAGCAUCGGUUCUUGCUGCGGGAGAAUGGGUGCCGGAAAGUGGCUCUUCGGAGUGUUAUAGCCGGCGCCAGAUACCGCGUGC